rnacentral:rRNA from 1 species
UACAGAGGGUGCGAGCGUUAAUCGGAAUUACUGGGCGUAAAGCGCACGUAGGUGGCGACGUAAGUCGGGUGUGAAAGCCCUGGGCUCAACCUGGGAACUGCAUUUCAGACUGGCGGACUAGAGUACGGUAGAGGGCGGUGGAAUUCCCUGUGUAGCGGUGAAAUGCGUAGAGAUGCGGAGGAACACCGAUGGCGAAGGCAGCCCCCUGGGCUGACACUGACGCUCAGGCACGAAAGCGUGGGGAGCAAACAGG